GCUUGUCGCUUAUAUCAAUGUCUUGCUGAGGAACUCGAUAUUAAGAUAGAUGAAGUUACGUUUUGGACGGAUUCCAUGAUACUACUAGGAUAUAUCAGAAAUACUUCAAGAAGAUUAAAAACGUUCGUCGGAAAUAGGCUUAGCAUCAUUCAUGAUACUACAAGUCCAAAUCAAUGGCGCCAUAUUGAUUCAAGUUCAAAUCCAGCAGACAUAGCUUCAAGAGGUAUCAACGCUUCUGAAACAGACAAAUUAGAUGUUUGGCUGCAUGAACCAACAUUUCUUAGUAAAGGUAGAGAACACUGGCCUAAGUAUUCAGGUAAUAUUAUCCCGGAAGUGAGUGAAGAUGAUGUUGAGGUAAACCGAAGUGAGUGAAGAUGAUGUUGAGGUAAAGAGAGAAAUUGCUAUUAACGUUACCAUUUGUGACACUAUUGGGAAGAUAAUUGAAUACUACACUGAUUGGUUCAAACUUAGACGUGCAGUGGCAUGGUUUUUGAGAUACAAGGAUUAUUGCAAACAGCGAUAUCUGCAUCAUGAUGUAGUGGUUGAAAAAGGUAAUCUCACCUUGUCUGAACUUAAGACAUCUUCUCACGCAGUUGUGAAAUACAUUCAGAUGGAAUGCUUUGCCGAUGAGGUAAUAAACUUGCAAAAAGGAACUAAUGUUAAAGGUGAAAGUCCGAUAGCUUCAUUAAAUCCUAUACUUAGAGAUGGUUUAAUACGUACAAAAGGUCGCAUUAUUUACCAUGAUGAAACGAAAUGUCCAAUCAUUCUACCGAAACGGCAUCAUUUGACUACUUUAAUGAUACGUUUUUACCACGAAAGUCAAGGUCACGUCGGAGUACAACAAGUUUUAGCAGCUACACGAACAAAGAUACUGGAUAUUAAAUGGACAUAGCGCUGUCAAACAGGUAGUAAGGAAUUGUGUACCAUGUAAGCGCAAAAAUAAUCCACUUUGUAAGCAACAAAUGGGACCGUUACUUGAUGAGCAAAUCACACCAGAUAAACCACCGUUCUCAUUUAUCGGCAUAGACUUUUUUGGUCCUUUGAUGGUAAAAUUAGGAAAGUCACAAGUAAAGAGAUAUGGAUGUAUUUUUUCUUGUUUAACAUCAAGGGCCGUCCAUUUAGAAGUUACUCAUAGUUUGAGUGCAGAUUCGUUUAUCGCCGCAUUGCAACGAUUUAUUAGCCGGAGAGGUCUACCGGAAAAGGUAUAUAGUGACAACGGAACCAAUCUCGUUAGUGGAGAUUGUGAAUUGCGCAAGUCCAUACGAGAGUGGAAUCAAUCCGAAAUUGGACAAUUCAUGUUGCAGCGGGAAAUCGAAUGGAACUUUAACCCUCCGUUAGCUAGUCACAUGGGCGGUAUAUGGGAACUGAUGAUACGAUCAACACGUGCAAUUUUGAGAUCGUUAGUCAAAGAGCAGCUUCUGACAGAUGAACAACUUCUUACUGUUGUAAUAGAGGUUGAAAAAAUACUUAAUGAUAGACCGAUUACCCGAGUAAGCGAUGACCCAAAAGACCCCCAGCUCUAACUCCAAGCAUGAUUUUAUUACUAAAGUCCUAUACAUGUAUUCCACGUGGCAUUUUCAGAAAAGAAGAUACAUAUGCAAAGAGAAGGUGGAGACAGGCUCAGUAUCUUGCUGAUAUAUUCUGGAAACGAUGGAUUCGGGAAUAUAUACCUACCCUACAAUCUCGACAAAAAUGGCUGAGACCACAAAGAGAUAUCCGUGAGGGCGAUAUUGUACUCGUGGCUCAGGAAAACAUACCAAGGGGGCAGUGGCCAUUGGGCAGGGUUGUAACUAUAAAUGUGGGUCGGGACGGGCAUACACAAAGCUGUGUGGUCAAAACUAGUAUGUCACAAUUCAUAAGACCAAUAACUAAACUUUGCCUACUAGAAUGUUCUAUUUAAAUCGUAAAGGUAUACAUUACAAUAAGCUAUUGUUUGUAUAAGAUGAAAUCGUAACGUUUCAUGGUGGGGAGUGUAAGAAUUAUAGUUCUUAGUUGUAAAUUUAUUAAUUUUAAUCACAUAAUUUUCAUAGUUUGAUUUUUCCGAUAGUAUUUACUAUUAAAGACAUUGUUUGACUCUUUCAAUUAAAGAUAGCUUCACUAUUUCCGCCAAACGUAACGUCUUAUUUUGUUUCCCGUAAAAAGACGUCAUUAAAUUGUUUUACGGUGACGACAUUAACCGUUACUUUGAUAUGUUGUUUUGCCUUGGGCGGAAGUGGUUAAAUUGUUGAUGUGUUUUGUUUAUUGAUGUUUUCCAAUGGAAAGUAGAUCAUAAUCGGUAUGUGAUUACAGACCUGUGUGUGAGGUUUUGAUUGUGGCGCAGUCAGUUGUUUGCCGAGAAGCCUUGAAAGCUGUGUAUUUCCCCCUUAUGAUACAAGUGGGCAACUGGAAGCAAUCUCAUUAAAAUCAGAUCAUCGUUUUCGCUCCGUUACUCUUCGCUACGUACCUUUCGAGCGUAGGGUAGUGAAGAUGAUUUUAAUGAGAUUGCAACUGGAGAAUGAUUAUUUUUAAAUGCAGAAAAACAAUUAAAAUGGAGACAAAAGCAGACAGGGGAAAACAAAUCAUUUAAAAGAGAGAAAAAGAAAGCAGAAGAAAGUAUGAGAAAGAGCACUGGUGAAAAAAUGUAGAGGACUACAUGAAACAUUAUAACAAUAGAACAAAUUUGUGUAAAUUAGUCGGGCAUAAAGCAAAUAAAACUGAAAUAAUAAGAAUUCUUGUUCAUUUUCAGUGAAAAAAAAAACCACAUUUUAUUUUUAUUUUCCAUAACAUAUCUUCCGUAACAGAUAUCUUUGCAUGCGCUACUCAUUAAAAUUAAAC